GGAGUCAUGGGAUGGAACGCGUCCCCGGUCACGCAGACGUUCCCUCUGCUGAUGUCACCCCACAGCAGGUUGAACGGGGAUCUGUAUCUCAAGUGAGCGGACGCUAGGCUGCUCAGCUCGCUCCUCCCUAUUACCUGUAAGACCUCUUGAGGAACCUUUUCGCUCUUCAGCUUGCUCAGUACAAAUUCCUUCACCUUAAUAACAUCUUUGUUCCAUUCUUCGUCUGCAAACAAAUAAUCAUAAUAUAUAUAUAUAUAUAAAAGAAAUCCAAACAUGCAAGCGGGCAGUGGAGGAAGUCACACCAUUUGCUCCGGCAGCCCAUGUGAAGAACCAGUACAUGCUGUUGUCAUCGCAGGGCAACAACCCUGCUCGAUAGCCUCUCCCGAAGUACUGCGCAAACUCCGGCUUGAAUCCGUGCCCCUCUUCAAACACGGCGAAGCCUCUUGCUGCGUAGCGCCCGGAGAAGGUCGGCUCCUUGAGGCCCAGCCAUUUGGCUACAGUGGAGUUGAUCCCAUCGCAGCCGAUCAAGACCUGCAGAAACCAUGCAAACCAAUGGUGCGGAAACUGAUCUCCCUCUCCGAUUGCUCUUUCUCAGGUGAUGCACAUAAAAGAUCGUCCGUACCUUGGCUUUGAGCGUGGAUCCAUCUGCCAAGUGGAGGAGCUUGAAUCGACCUGCGUCCUCCAUGGAGACCACCUUGGACGAGUACCUGAUGGUACCUUGUGGAAGCUCCUUGGCUAGGGCU
rnacentral:lncRNA from 1 species